UACGAAGGGGGCUAGCGUUGUUCGGAAUUACUGGGCGUAAAGCGCGCGCAGGCGGCUAUCCAAGUCAGUGGUGAAAGCCCGGAGCUCAACUCCGGAACUGCCAUUGAAACUGUUUAGCUUGAGGAUGAGAGAGGUGAGUGGAAUUCCCAGUGUAGAGGUGAAAUUCGUAGAUAUUGGGAAGAACACCGGUGGCGAAGGCGGCUCACUGGCUCAUUACUGACGCUCAGGCGCGAUAGCGUGGGGAUCGAACAGG
rnacentral:rRNA from 1 species